AAAUGUUUCUUCUUGUUGACAGGCAAAUGUACACUCAUAUAUUCUUUGGAAUAUAUGUCUAUUGCUCAUGCUUCCAAGCAGGGAGAAAACCCAGGGAUCUUUUAACAGAUCAAGUUCAUCCAUUCUGUGACACAGAGCAAGUGCACACAUUUUACCUAGCCCAAAUGUCCUUGCUUCUACAUUCUCAGACCUUCCUACAAUGAUCAGAAAGUCUGAAGAGGGCAUCUCAUGUGCAGCUGAAACAUAACAGUCUGCUUGUGCUUUAAGAUCUUCCGGCUGCAUCUUUUGUAAACCACUUUGAGUCCCAGAUGGGGAACAAGAUGAGACAGAAAUACAUACCAUCAUCGUCAUCAUUACCAUCACCUCUACAACCAAUGGGAGAGGAGGCUUUUA